GACGAACGCUGGCGGCGUGCUUAACACAUGCAAGUCGAACGAAGUGGCGAACGGGUGAGUAACGCGUAAUCAACCUGCCCUUCAGAGGGGGACAACAGUUGGAAACGACUGCUCAUACCGCAUACUGAAGGAGGGGAUUGCGUCGGAUUAGCUAGUUGGAGGGGUAACGGCCCACCAAGGCGAUGAUCAGUAGCCGGGCUGGGAGGGUGGACGGCCAAAUUGGGACUGGGACAAGGCCCAGACUCCUACGGGAGGCAGGAGUGGGGAAUCUUCCGCAAUGGAGGAAAGUCUGACGAAGCAACGCCGGGUGAGUGAUGACGGCCUUCGGGUUGUAAAGCUCUGUUAAUCGGGACGCGGUACCGGAAUAGAAAGCCACGGCUAACUACGUGCCAGCAGCCGCGGUAAUUC
rnacentral:rRNA from 1 species